UCACAAGGCUGAAAGUCCCCCGGAUACCACAAUCCAGCAGGAAGCGGCCCUCACUGGUGAGGGGUUGCCCGUUUCUGUGCCACGUCACUUGGGGCUCUGGGUAGCCCCGGACCUUCAAGGAAAAGAAGAAAGGUGGCUACUAGAAAAGUUACAACAAUCUACAUGCCUGGCUUGAUGUUUUUAUCAGGCAGUGCAGCUCUAGACAGCUCUUUCUCUAAUAAUAGGUAGCAGCUAACAUCUGUUGAGUGCUAAGCGUUAAGCACUUUUCUAAGUACCUGACAGAUCUGAGCUUCCUAGCAACUUGUUCAGACAGAAGAUAUUUCUCAAAAGACGGGAAAAUGCAGAGAGAGAGAAAUUCCAAGCAAAGAAAUCACCUUGAAUUUCAGAGAAAGGAAGUUCCCCAAGGACCCUCAAACUCCUGAAACUCAACAGGCCCUUCAGAACGGACUCAUCUUUGGAGGAGCAGGGCUCACACUGGCCCAUCAAUACACAGCCUGCGACCCAGAACUGGGGGAUUUUAGCACUGGAAAAUGCACAGAGGACAUCACAGAAGCCUCCUGAGAAAGAAGCUGUUUGUGUUAGACAAUGGUGGUAGCAACUGCUUUUAUCGAUGUAUCUACUCCGAGACAACAGAGGAUGAAGCCACCAAAAUUUGCUGGCUGACCCCAGAUUGCAUUUACAAAGAAAGCCUUCAAUGACCUACAGCGAUAAUCCUCCUCACACCCCUCAGCAAGGUCAGAGGGGAUGCUAUAACAGCACAUGGGAGAAAGGAGGAGGUAAAACAGCAUGUGCAUGCACACCUGGGCAUCCAAACACAGUUAAUUCCCUAAGCAUCCUAAGCGAAGAGAGAACCCUGUAAAUGCAGCAGUAGUCGUCCUUGGGCUGUGCUCUCUCCCUUCCCAGGUGUCCAGCCCCCAACUCGUCCUUAGACCUGUUUCUCAGUAGCCAGGAUGCAGAUGUCUUCCUGGGGAAGGAAGCCUUGAAUCACAGAGAAAAUCCCCAAAGUGAACAAUCCCCUCUUAGGUUAUUCCACCGUCACCCCCUCAGUGCCGGCUUAGGAAUCUCACAAGGCCAGCCUCCCCAGCUCACUCCUUUGUAGUCAAGCUUCAGUGAAAAAGAAACAAAAGCAAAUCAAAACCCCAAAUCAAUAUUCUCCAUCUUAUUUGCAAUUUCUGGAAACAGAAAAAUCCCUUUCCUAUCAAAAUCUACACUCUACCCACGAUAGAGAUUGAGUCCCUGUGAGAGAAUGCUUAUAUUCUGAAGUCACUUUCCCCACAAGCAUGACAACACUGUCUGAAGCCACUGCAGCCUCAGCAAGCACAUGAGUCCUCUCACAGGCUGCCCAUGUUGGAGGGGACCACAUUCAUUCGGACAGAUAAGCUCUCACAUCUAUUAUAACAUGAAACAAAGUGUUGACAGUGGUUGUCUCUGGGUCUCUCCUCUUUUCCUUUUACUUAACUAUUAUUUUCUGAUAUUUCUGCAGACAACAUGCCUGGCCUUUGUAAAACAAACAAAAAAAUUUUAAUAAAAACUGUAUUCCUUUUA